UGGGGAAUUUUGGACAAUGGGCGAAAGCCUGAUCCAGCAAUGCCGCGUGUGUGAAGAAGGCCUUCGGGUUGUAAAGCACUUUUGUCCGGAAAGAAAUCCUUGGCUCUAAUACAGUCGGGGGAUGACGGUACCGGAAGAAUAAGCACCGGCUAACUACGUGCCAGCAGCCGCGGUAAUACGUAGGGUGCAAGCGUUAAUCGGAAUUACUGGGCGUAAAGCGUGCGCAGGCGGUUUGCUAAGACCGAUGUGAAAUCCCCGGGCUCAACCUGGGAACUGCAUUGGUGACUGGCAGGCUAGAGUAUGGCAGAGGGGGGUAGAAUUCCACGUGUAGCAGUGAAAUGCGUAGAGAUGUGGAGGAAUAUCGAUGGCGAAGGCAGCCCCCUGGGCCAAUACUGACGCUCAUGCACGAAAAGCGUGGGGAGCAAAACAGGAUUAGAUACCCUGGUAGUCCACGCCCUAAAACGAUGUCAACUAGUUGUUGGGGGAUUCAUUUCCUUAGUAACGUAGCUAACGCGUGAAAGUUGACCGCCUGGGGAGUACGGUCGCAAGAUUAAAAACUCAAAUGAAUUGACGGGGUCAUAGCUGUUUCCU
rnacentral:rRNA from 1 species